UUCAACUAUCGUUACAUUUUUGAGAGGGACUGCUCCGCCGUCUCGUCUUCUUCUUCUACGGAGCGGGAGGGACUCGCGAAGUCUACGAACAGGAACAGUUGGCGGUUCACGGAGGCGGAACUCCUAAAAAUGGAUUCCUCCUACUUUUCUCUUCAAUCCAUAGCCUCAUCACUUCCUCAUUCUUUUGAUUCGAAUGACACUUCGAACUCUGCACGUUUAUACGCGGCGUCUAAUGGACUCUGUGCUUGACCAGGGGAAGAAAUCGCUACCGGUUCCAGUAUGCCCUUGCCUGUGUAUAGCCAUGAGCAGACCUGGAAAGCUCACGUUUCUCUGAUAAUCGAUACAUUUGUGGACCGGAUUGAACUCUGGACCUACAAACCUUGCUAUUCGGUCGAGAUUUCAUUUUCAUUUGAUGAUCAAGUUGUUUCCGAGGCGAUGUCGGUGACUUCGCUUCCACUGAGGUCGACGUUUCGACGGAAAUCACAAGCGGGAAAGUGAUGGCAAAUCCAGUCUCCAGAUUUCCAUCCAGGUGGGACACUUGCAUCUGAGGCAUACUGAUCGGAACCCAUCAUGUAGGUGCCAUAAUCAC